ACAAAAUGUUCAAUGACGCGAACAAGUCAACAAUUCUAUGUUUUCCAGAUCUAUACUUCCUCAUCAGCUAACCUGCACGCGCUCACCCACGGGGGCAUUUACUGUACAAUAUAUUCACCCGGAAAUGUCGUCUUUAUGUUAUAUUAUAUGAUCUUAAAGCGUUUCUUGUGCAUAUACUGUUACAUUAUGUGUUAAAAGUUGUAAAAGUUAGACCGAAACUCGCCUACCUGUGACUUGGUUUGUCGUCCCGGAAGUAGCUGACCUGUCUGUCGGCAGCCAGCAACAAAAGAAACUUAUGGAUUCAAAAACGACGUCAAAAGACUCCAAAAAGAAGCAAAUAUCCGCGUCUUCCUGGUUCAAUCCAAACUGAAUUGUCUCAAAAGGAAAAAUAUCAGUGGUGCAGUGGUGGAAAAUGUUUGGAAAAGACCCCAGACCAGUUAAUUAAACAACUUUGCUAGCCGCCGCCAAGCUGAGGCCGAGUGAUGGCGAAUUCAAAGGGAGUCGACAAUGAUGCCAGAAAAGUGGCACUGAGUUUAACAGUGCACAGUCGCCCAUGAGCCAAGCAUGAUAUGGAAUACGGGUGAAAUAUCUCCAUUGGUGGCGGCGUGGCGCUUGAAGUCAACACAUGAAGCCAACGCGUCUCUACGUUUGGCAAAGGUCUGCUUCCACAGCAUUGAAUUUGGUCAUCUCAUCGGCAGCUGGGAAACUUGGAAGUGGGGUGAAAGGAGGGAGACAAGAUAAACACAGAGCUAACAAUGCGCCACAUCCUGGCCGUUGCCCGCGGCCCUUGUGUUUGAGCCCCCCGGUAUAUACCCUACAAACAAGACACACGUUGUUUGUCUUUCCUGGGAUCGGUAAACAUCCUCGACACAAACCAGUUCCUCUGCCGAGAGAAGAGGAGAGAAACUCGCACCAACGGGGGCAGCUGCACUCUCACUCCAGACACGCCUUUGAUGUGCUGCAGCCUCGGCUGAUCAUCAGCACGUCUUGCUGGAUAUCUUCAUGUCUUCUUACGCAACUUGACAUCUUCUCCUCUGUUUGUGCCUCCAAGACCAAAAAAAAGCACGGUGAUCUAAUGACUCCUCGUCUAUUUUUGGAUAAAAAGGUCCACGUGCUUUGUUUUGGUAAUGAAUUGGCGCCUUUGCAGCUGUCUCACACAAUCAAAGUGGAAGUACCACCACUCAUUGGUCAGGCUGGUGGUAGUCUACACUCCUGAUCAAAAGACACUUCACAGCGCUUGAAAAAUGGCAAGAAAGUCAAAAUAAGAAUACAAAUGUUGAUACGGAAAUUGGAUGUGGAUCAGCUUCAUCUUUUCAGUGUCUCGCUUAUUGUUACACUUGUAUGACUCGUAAGAAUGUUACAUUUUCUGAAUGUCCACACUCAUUUUACAUACUCCUUAACAAGAUAGGACUGAUUUUAGAUUGUUUUUAUAACAGUGUUUCACUUAUUUUUACAUUUGAAUGACUUGUAAGAAUGUUACAUUUUCCCAGCAUCCACACUCGUAUUAUAUACUCCUUAACUGAUAAUAAAAAGUUAAGACUGUUAAUAUUUUUUGUUGCUUUUUUUUCUCAUAACAGUGUCUCACAUACAGUAUUUUUACAUUUGUAUGCGUUGUAAGAAUGUUACAUUUUCCAACAUCUACACUCAUGUUAUAUACUCAGUAACUGAUAAUAAAAGGCUAAGACUGUUUAUUUUUAUUUUUUUUAUGUUUCUCAUAACGGUGUGUCACUUGGAUUUAUGCUUGUAUGACUCGUAAGAAUGUUACAUUUUCUGAAUGUCCACACUCGUUUUACAUACUCCUUAACAAGCUAGGACCGAUUUUAGAUUGUUUUUAUAACAGUGUUUCACUUAUUUUUACAUUUGAAUGACUUGUAAGAAUGUUAUAUUUUCCCAGCAGCCACACUCGUAUUAUAUACUCCUUAACUAAUAAUAAAAAGCUAAGACUGUUAAUUUUUUUUGUUGCUUUUUUGUUUCACAUAACUGUGUCUCACAUACAGUAUUUUUACAUUUGUAUGCGUCGUAAGAAUGUUACAUUUUCUGAAUGUCCACACUCAUUUUACAUAUUCCUUAACAAGCUAGGACUGAUUUUAGAUUUUUUAAAAUCAGCAUCAUAACAGUGUUUCACUUAUUUUUACAUUUGAAUGACUUGUAAGAAUGUUAUAUUUUCCCAGCAUCCACACUCAUAUUAUAUACUCCUUAACUGAUAAUAAAAAGCUAAGACUGUUAAUUUUUUUUGUUGCUUUUUUGUUUCUCAUAACAUUGUCUCACAUACAGUAUUUUUACAUUUGUAUGCUUUGUAAGAAUGUUACAUUUUCCAACAUCUACACUCAUGUUAUAUACUCAGUAACUGAUAAUAAAAAGCUAAGACUGUUUAUUGUCUUUUUUUUAUGUUUCUCAUAACGGUGUGUCACUUGGAUUUAUGCUUGUAUGACUCGUAAGAAUGUUACAUUUUCUGAAUGUCCACACUCAUUUUACAUAUUCCUUAACAAGCUAGGACUGAUUUUAGAUUUUUUAAAAUCAGCAUCAUAACAGCGUUUCACUUAUUUUUACAUUUGAAUGACUUGUAAGAAUGUUACAUUUUCCCAGCAUCCACACUCAUGAUAUAUACUCCUUAACUGAUAAUGCAAAGCUAAGACUGUUUAUUAUUUUUUUGCUUUUUUUUGUUUCUCAUAACAUUGUCUCACAUACAGUAUUUUUGCAUUUGUAUGCGUUGUAAGAAUGUUACAUUUUCCAACGUCUACACUCAUGUUAUAUACUCAG